ACAGACUAAGUGAUUGUGGGCGGGGCGUCAGGCCCCGUCUAAGAUAUAGUCGGUCUCUGCUCGAAAGGGCAGAGCCUAGCGCG
rnacentral:rRNA from 1 species